GCGAAGGUGGCGGAAUUAAGGUGGCGGAAUUGGUAGACGCGCUAGCUUCAGGUGUUAGUGUCCUUACGGAUGUGGGGGUUCGAGUCCCCCCCCUCGCACCA
rnacentral:tRNA from 1 species